UAUGGCCAUUAUUGCCUGCUGAGGAGUAGAGAAGGCGCUGGUGUUGUGGCGCUGGGGGUCAGGGGGCGUCCCAAGGGACUUUUGUGUCACCAGCAGAGUGUUGCCGAGUGGGCGGUGGUUCGCCCAGGGACGGGGAUGGCGGCUGCGGCCCCUCACCCGGCACUGCGCCCCCUUUAUUCCCUGACUUCAGGGAGCAGCGGGAGUUUUCCUGAGGAGACUCUCUAGAGAGACUUGGAGGGGGGCGUCAGUCUCGGCAGGGCGCUGGCCCGGUCCCCGCCACCACACAGGGUCCCCCAGCAUGGUCGGAAUGAUCACCUCGAAAUCUCCAAAGAAACCCGGGUGUGAGAAGCAGCGUGGGGCCGGAGAGGAACAUGAGCUUGGAAUAAAAGAUUUUUGGCUUCAUCUGUCAAGUGUCUCAGCACAGCCUUCCGCACUGUCCAUCUCUCCCAGACCAGAAACAUCUCGAAUCACGGUGAGAACACUCGCAAAGCUUUCGCAUUGGUUGGUGGCGGUCGGUCCGACCACGACGACGAAAACUCACUUACCCGUCCCUUCAGAUGCGUGCACCUUUUCUUCCACCGCCCACCCACCCACCCACCCAAAAACCCAGAUGUUUCAAUGAGCCUCUGCUUCCUUCCCGACGUCGGCUGUUCCGGCUAGCCAGCCUCCAGCGCUCCGGAGGUUCUCCUCUGCAGCAUCGCCUUCGGCACGUCGUCGUCUACUUCCCGCUCGAGAGAUGCAUCUCUGCUGCGCAGACUUGGCCGGCCUCGGACGGCACUGCACACCCCGCCCCCCAGCCCCCGGGAUGAAGUUUCGCCGCCGCCGCCACGGCCACCACUACCCGGUGCACUCUGGGAGUUGUAGUCCACCCGACCUCUCCGCCUCUACCAUGGCGGCCCAGAAGCAAGAGGAAGUCUGACUCCAAACCGGUUAGACCAGACAAACACGCCCCCCCCCGACCCCCGCCCCGCCCCGUCGCCCCCGUCCCCCCGUCCCCCCCG